ACAAGAAUUGACCACAUGGUGAUAUCAAUCAACUGGAUAGAAUGGACAUCUGUAAACUCCAUCAACCAAACACAGCAGAAUACACAUUCUUCUCAAACUCACAUGGAACAUUCCUGGUCCAUUCAUUUCACUCAAGCCUUUCCAGAUAAACUCAUCAAUGACCUGCUGGUUGAUAAAUUCAGUAGAUAUUUUUCGGUCAUCUUUCUUGACGUUACUGAAUUAUUCCAGCUGUUGUCUCAGCUGUGCUAAGGAGAUUUGUGCCUAUAGCUUCCACAUGUGAGCCAAAAGAUUAACGAGUGGAAUAGCAACACCGAGGCCAGAGCAGUGGUGACAAUAAUUUGGGAGAGAUCCCUAGGAG
rnacentral:lncRNA from 1 species